rnacentral:miRNA from 1 species
GCGGUCUGUUCAGGUGGAUGAG